UACGGAGGGGGCUAGCGUUGUUCGGAAUUACUGGGCGUAAAGCGCACGCAGGCGGUUGAUUAAGUUAGAUGUGAAAUCCCCGGGCUUAACCUGGGAAUGGCAUCUAAGACUGGUCAGCUAGAGUCUUGUAGAGGGGGGUAGAAUUCCAUGUGUAGCGGUGAAAUGCGUAGAGAUGUGGAGGAAUACCGGUGGCGAAGGCGGCCCCCUGGACAAAGACUGACGCUCAGGUGCGAAAGCGUGGGGAGCAAACAGG
rnacentral:misc_RNA from 1 species